UCUCCGGGCGGUAACGGUGCCUUUCCCUCUGGAGGGGUUUGCACUGAGCGCCCACUGGGUUCGGGGCAGGAUGACCAGUGGUUUCCGGAUUUCCACGUUGGCUGGGGGUGAAGGGGAAGUGCAUUUCCCUCGCGGUGCAAAUCUCACUUAGCAGGUGGCUCACAUCUGCCUUCUCUCGCAGGGGAUUUACUCGAAAGCUAGUUGGUCACGUUCUCGGGAGAAACGGAGCCCACGCCGCCCCCUGUCCCUCCGCCUUGGGCAGGGAACUGAUGUCUGGACACGAGCGGGAGCAGUUCCUUCGCUCGCGGCUGCCCCCCUUCUUGCUUCUCUGUCCCCCCACCCCCAGGUCCUUCCGUGUCACAGGGACUCACUCAUCGCGCAUACAAGCUGGGCAUAUAGGGAUGAAGGGAUGGACUUGGCCGUCAGUGGGAGUCCCCAGGGUGCAAGUCCGUUUUGUUGUUACCUUAGGGAAUCCUAACAAGUGUAAUUAAUGUCAGAGCCCUUGCGUCAGGGAAAACCUUACACGAUGUCAUCAGGUUUUUGCCUGGCCUUUGGCUGUAGGCUCCUGUCUUAUCUCCCUGGUUCUAUCUUAAAUUCUUCUGAUUCAAUGUCCCAAUGUGGGGAUUUUUCUAAAAUAAACUUUGUUUAACCCUGCUCUAACUGCUAGGUCUUAUUUGUCACUUUUCCAAGAGACUAGGACAGUUCUUGGCAAUUAGGAGGCAGGCAGGGUGACUAUGAAAUCAAGUUAUUAUCAUUUAGUUCAAAGACUAGUGCCUAGACUCUGUGCGAUUAAGCUGUAACUAGUCCUAUUAAUUCACUAACAUCCGUUUUUUUUAACCGUUUAUGGUAUGGAGGAUAUGUGAUAGCUGGACUUGGCCCUGCCCUCCAGCUUACAUGAACGACAAUACAAGGCAACUGGAAAUUUAAGGUGCCUAGUUUAGGAGCUCACAGUCAUUCAUCUUUACCAGAAUUUUAGUUUUGUUUGGGUUUUUUUUUUUUUUUAACAAUUGGAUGUAUUAACCAAUCUGGUGGCUUUCUAUGGCUUCAGAGGGCAGUCUUUCAUGCUCUUUUCUAUUUCGUGUUAAUCUCUGAAAUGAAUUUGAAGUCUUAUUGGCAUUAUCCAUUCAGUGUCUUGUGCCAAAAAGUUAUUUCGCAGGUUAUAUUGCAAAAGUACACUCGUGUGUUCUGGGGGUGAGUGGCUGGGAAGCAUGGACCAUGCAUCUUCCAUGGGGGUGCUCCUUAGGUAGCAGUGAAGCAGGGAUGAUCCUCCCAUGAUGUUCUGUCCUCCUCUUAGAAGUGUUUUUAUGAUAAAUGAUGACUGAACAAAUGAAGGCUACCUGUCUUACAUCCCAGGAGUUUGAAGAAAAUUCUUAUCUGUUGCCAAGGAAGAGGAGGUGUGAAUAAUAAAUAUUACCUUAUUUAUACAUGUCCACUAAUAGCUGGUGAAUGCUAAUCUUCAAGAUCUUGGAUAGGCUGGACCAGGGUCAUUUGAGAGUUAAGUUAAAUGAGUACUAGUGCACUCCAACUGCAUGCAAGAGCAACCUGGAGAGACUUUAACAGCUCAGAUCAGCAUAAUACCUGCAGCUGCCACUUGCCUUGCCUGUAUCUCAGGGAAAGAAAAAAAAAUGAGUACUAGUGCAUAGUUGUCACCUCCACCCCCAUUUCAAGGGAUUAACAGCCACUUUAAUAAUUCCUUGUUCAACUAUACGCAUAUGUUAAUAAGUAUACUCCCUCUCUUGGCAGUUUGUACUUCAAAAUAAACUUGAUUUUCCAUCAUCAGUGUCAUGACUCUUAAAACAUUUUGCUCAUACAUGAAUGGCUUAGGUCAUGCACUGUAUGUAAUGAUUGAGCAUGUCAUUCUAUAAAAAGUGUGUUUUUGAAGCCAGAUGCUGUUUCAGAACAGAGGAGUAAAAAUGGGUGAAUAUUAUUUCCUUUCCUGAAACCGCUAAUAUAAUAGUCUCUUUGGAAAGAUAGGCAUGUUCAUUAACACCAGGCAUGUCACUUAAAAGAGGCUGUUACUUAAUUGUAUGAAUGACAGAUUACAAAUAAAAUACAAAUGCAGAGAAAUGGGCAUUUCAGGCUGUAUUUGCCGGGUUUGGCAUCAAAUAGGAGUUAGAAUUUGUUGAUGAUUUGUCUGUGAUCAGAGAAUAUUGAGAGAAGGAGUUUGGCCAUAACCAUAUCAGGAUUGUUGUGGGGGGAGGUGAAGGAUGAAGAUGAAUAGAUAGGUUUCAGCCAAAAAUCUGGAUGCCAAACUAAGACAUUUGGAGUUUAUCUUAUAGACAGUGUAUGAUGCACUAAUGAUCAGGGCUGGGGGGUGAGCUAAAGAGAUAAUGAUGUGAAAGCUGUGCUUUAGGAAUGAAUGAACAAGACAAAUUACCAGAGAAGAAAGAUUGAGAGGCAGUUGCAAUAGUCCUGGCAUGAAGUAUAAAUAAAAGGGAGGGGAGGAUUAAUGUGAGAUGCUUAGUAGAGGAAGAUUUAACAGGCAUUGUUGAGUAAAAGAAUAGUCCCAGGUGGUGGGUACAAAGAUUCGAACCAGAAUACCUUGGUGGUGUUUUAGAGAGACACCACCUUACUUUUGGCUUUUUCUUUUUUCCGGCAGUGACGCAAGAGAGGAAAGGGGCACAGUUCAUUAAAGUAAAUGGGGGCAAAAGUACUAAAAUAUUUUGAUAAAUUUAACUUGUAAAUAAACACCUGGCAGUGAAGAUAGGAUAUACAGG